rnacentral:lncRNA from 1 species
UCGUUUUCUUAACUUGUGAACUACAAUCUAUUUUUACUACUUAAAAUAUGUUUCUGUCUUGUUUUUGUUCAAGACCUCUAUGUGUCUAGUGUGUUCAUAUAAAAUUUCGUAGACUUUAGAUAAGUGUAAGUUGGUCUAAUAAUUAUUUUUCAGUGGCUGGUUAGUAGGGACAGCAGCCCAGUUUUUGUGACAUUUUAAGUAGUUAGAUAAAACUAUCUUUUGCGUGAAAGACCCUUAUUUCAUAUGCU